UCGAGAAUCUUUCGCAAUGCCCGAAAGGGUGACGAAGCGACGCCGCGUGCGGGAGGAAGGCCUUCGGGUUGUAAACCGCUGUCGGGAGUUAAGAAAUGCAAGGAUGUUAAUAGCGUUCUUGCUUGACUAAGGCUCCGGAGGAAGCCACGGCUAACUCUGUGCCAGCAGCCGCGGUAAUACGGAGGGUGCAAGCGUUAUCCGGAAUCACUGGGUUUAAAGGGUGCGUAGGCGGCUUAGUAAGUCAGUGGUGAAAGCCUGUGGCUUAACCAUGGAAUGGCCAUUGAUACUGCUGAGCUUGAAUGAGGUUGAGGUUGGCGGAAUGUGACAUGUAGCGGUGAAAUGCUUAGAUAUGUCAUGGAACACCGAUUGCGAAGGCAGCUGACUGGACCUGUAUUGACGCUGAGGCACGAAAGCGUGGGUAGCGAACAGGAUUAGAUACCCAUGUAGUCCCUGAGCGGGCUGGCAAGGCGCAU
rnacentral:rRNA from 1 species